UCCGGAUGCGGGGGCACCAUGUUUCCUUCCUGGAAGCCCACGUGCUUCAGGCCGGGUGGGACCACAGGGCCUUCUUGCAGGCCCUGCGGAGGUGGCCGGGCCCCCCGGGGCUCCUUCUUUCUGGACAAACCGUCUAUGCCAUCUCCCCAGACGAACGGGCCGCCCGUGUUGUACGUGCUCCCGUGGGAGGCCGGGCUCCCGACCCCGGCGGCCGUUGGCCUGGGCAGGCUUUGCUCUCCUCCCGUCAGGGACGUCGGAAACUGAAGCUCUGUGGAGCAGCUUGUUUUCUUUUCCUUUUUAUUGUUGUCUGAAUUUCCUCCCUUGCCUCACAUGACGCCGCUGGGUUUGGAGAAGCAGUUGGUACCCACGUGUGGUAAAGCUUCAGUGAUGAGCUGGAGAAGGCGUUUUCCGCCAGCGAUUGGCCCUCCUGGUGUUAAAGGAUGAGGCGGUGGGGACCGAGGAGCCGAGGCUGACGGGGUGACGACUGGAUCCCGGUUCUUUCUGAGGGGCUUCGCGUGGGACCCGGGAGAGCUCGCUUGGUGCCCCCGGCUGCAUAGCCCCAGGUCCAUCAGUGUUGGCUGGUUUGUCUGCGAACCCCGGUGCCCAGCGGCCCUGUGAACCAUCCCAUUAAGGUGUCAAGAGGUAAACGAAAACAACUAAUUACAAGAGGUGACACAGGAAAGGACAUCUUAAUAUUAAGCAAGCAUUGCAGGAGCUUCAGAUGGAAGCUGAAGAAGAUUUUGUGACAUUCUCAGAUUUCAUGCAGUGAUGCUCCCAUGGACUCAAGGACUGUGUUCGUCACUUUCUUCAGUGAAACAGAACCAAUAAUAGAGAUAAAGAUUGAGAUGGAGAUACAUAUUUAUUUUUAAGAAUUGGCUCAUAAGAUCCUGAGGGCGGGCAAAUGUGUAGAGCAGCUGGCAGACUGGAAAUUCAGUUUUGAGGAUCAUUGCUGCUUCUUCAGGAAAUCUCGGUUUUUGCUUUUAAGACCUUUGGCUGAUUGAACGAGGCCCACCAACCUAUGGAGAGUAACCUGCUUUACUUCUGUUGGUUUAAAUGUUGGUCCCAUCUGAAAAAAUACCUUCACAGCAUCAUCUGCACUGGUGUUUGACCAAGCAACUGGGCACUACGGCCUGGCCAAGUUGACAUAUAAAAUUAACCAUUACAGGGACAUUUUAUUUUAUUUCCCACUAGCCAAAUCUGAAAAUAAUGUGAAACGUUCAUGAGAAAAGAUAUAAGAUGUGUCCAGGGGAAAAAGCAAAAUGUUGCUGUCAGCUAGUUUUCAUACAAAUCAGUCUAGAUUUCUCUUCUAAAAUGUCUUUUCAAUAUGAUGUCCAAAACAGACUAGUUGACACACGCAAAAAGAAAAUUAAUUUAUAAAAAUCAGCAAAAGAUCUUCAGGAAAGAGUCAGGUUAAACAUCAAAUAGGAUUUUCUGGAAUUAUUCCUAUUUUUAUCCUUGAAAAUCUAAUGCAUUCUUCUGUAUGAGAUUUUUUAAUUGAGCACAGAUUUUCAACUCUUCUUCCUUGCCAGGUCUUGAUUAAAAUGAUCAAUCAUGCAAAAAUUGGGAAAAGUUUUAUUUAGUGGUCUAAAAGAGGAAAUGAUGUCACCUAUUCAAAAAUAUUGUAGCAUUUAAUCUAGAUAUUACCAAUGUAUCUAGAUGAAUUAAUAGGAAAAGGAGAUCUAGUGAUAAUUCAGGGAUUUCACACACUGCUUUGGAUAAAAUACACAUUAUAAUAAAGCUCAUUCUUAAAGAGUGAAAGAACAGAAGAAGAAAACAAAACAGAGUAAUCUAGGACCUAUAAAAGUGUUUAAUAUAGAAUACAGAUAAAAGCAUGCUACAUGCAUGUUCUGAAAAAAAGCUUUCUAUGGUAAAGAUAAGUACAUGUGAAGUCACUUAUUUUAUAUUUUCAGAAAACAAAGAAAAUGUAUUAUGAAGUAAGUGCAAAAUGAGAUAGUAA
ensembl:lncRNA